UCGAACCCUGCAAAGCAGAACGACCCGUGAACAAGUAAAACAAACGAGCGUCGAGCAUUAGGCACUUGUUUGGUCCUCUUGAUGCUUUGUCGAUGUGCAUUUACUUGGUCCUUUUGGGCUGUGUGAGUGUGUCAUUGGCGCAAUAACAACCCCCGGCACAAUGCGUGCCAAGGAAAACAAAACGAAAGAAGGCUUGUUUCAUGUCGCCCCGUUCGCGGUGUGCGCGUGGAAUGUGGCUUCUUUAUAAAUCGCGUCGCCCCCCGCAAAUAUAUGUGGGGGGCGGAUUAAUUGGUCUCCCGUGAUAUUGUCGUGGUUGGCCAAAAUAUGGUUUCCUCUGAUGGAUGCACAAACUAGUGGUGGUCGUAAAAACCCUCGUUCUUUGUUUUGUGCUGUAUCUCUCAUUAGGAACUCUAAUCCCAAUGUGUUGUUUUAGGAUGACGCUUCGACCG
rnacentral:rRNA from 1 species